rnacentral:rRNA from 1 species
UACAUGUGGGGCAAGCGUUGUUCGGAAUUACUGGGCGUAAAGGGCUCGUAGGCGGCCAACUAAGUCGGAUGUGAAAUCCCCAGGCUCAACUUGGGAACUGCAUCCGAUACUGGAUGGCUUGAAUUCGGGAGAGGGAUGCAGAAUUCCGAGGUGUAGCGGUGAAAUGCGUAGAUAUCUGGAGGAAUACCGGUGGCGAAGGCGGCAUCCUGGACCGACAUUGACGCUGAGGAGCGAAAAGCUAGGGGAGCAAACAGGG